rnacentral:rRNA from 1 species
GACGAACGCUGGCGGCGUGCCUAAUACAUGCAAGUCGAACGAAGCUGUUUUAACUGGUGCUUGCACCGACUUAAACAACUGAGUGGCGAACGGGUGAGUAACACGUGGGUAACCUGCCCCAAAGCGGGGGAUAACAUUUGGAAACAGAUGCUAAUACCGCAUAACCACAGAAACCACAUGGUUUCUGUGUCAAAGAUGGUUUCGGCUAUCACUUUGGGAUGGACCCGCGGCGUAUUAGCUAGUUGGUAAGGUAAUGGCUUACCAAGGCAAUGAUACGUAGCCGAACUGAGAGGUUGAUCGGCCACAUUGGGACUGAGACACGGCCCAAACUCCUACGGGAGGCAGCAGUAGGGAAUCUUCCACAAUGGACGAAAGUCUGAUGGAGCGACGCCGCGUGAGUGAAGAAGGUUUUCGGAUCGUAAAACUCUGUUGUCAGAGAAGAACGUGUGCGAGAGUAACUGUUCGUGCAGUGACGGUAUCUGGCCAGAAAGCCACGGCUAACUACGUGCCAGCAGCCGCCGUAA